UACAGAGGGGGCAAGCGUUGUUCGGAAUUACUGGGCGUAAAGCGUGCGCAGGCGGCUUACUAAGACAGGUGUGAAAGCCCCGAGCUUAACUUGGGAAUGGCGCUUGUGACUGGUAGGCUGGAGUGUGGCAGAGGGAGGUGGAAUUCCACGUGUAGCAGUGAAAUGCGUAGAGAUGUGGAGGAACACCGAUGGCGAAGGCAGCCUCCUGGGCCAGCACUGACGCUCAUGCACGAAAGCGUGGGGAGCAAACAGG
rnacentral:rRNA from 1 species